AUACCAUGAUGAGGGCACUUUCGUAAUAACUCCUUAAGCUGCUCCCAUGCUUCAUAUAAAGAUUCUUUGUCAAGUUGAUGAAAUAAAGUGAUUUCAUUUCGGAUCUU
rnacentral:snoRNA from 1 species